rnacentral:rRNA from 1 species
AUUGAACGCUGGCGGCAGGCUUAACACAUGCAAGUCGAGCGGGGGAAGGUAGCUUGCUACCGGACCUAGCGGCGGACGGGUGAGUAAUGCUUAAGAAUCUGCCUAUUAGUGGGGGAUAACAUCUCGAAAGGGAUGCUAAUACCGCAUACGUCCUACGGGAGAAAGCAGGGGAUCUUCGGACCUUGCGCUAAUAGAUGAGCCUAAGUCGGAUUAGCUAGUUGGUGGGGUAAAGGCCUACCAAGGCGACGAUCUGUAGCGGGUCUGAGAGGAUGAUCCGCCACACUGGGACUGAGACACGGCCCAGACUCCUACGGGAGGCAGCAGUGGGGAAUAUUGGACAAUGGGGGGAACCCUGAUCCAGCCAUGCCGCGUGUGUGAAGAAGGCCUUAUGGUUGUAAAGCACUUUAAGCGAGGAGGAGGCUACUCUAGUUAAUACCUAGGGAUAGUGGACGUUACUCGCAGAAUAAGCACCGGCUAACUCUGUGCCAGCCGCCGCUGUAACAC